rnacentral:rRNA from 1 species
UACGGGGGGGGCAAGCGUUGUUCGGAAUUACUGGGCGUAAAGGGCUCGUAGGCGGCCAACUAAGUCAGACGUGAAAUCCCUCGGCUUAACCGGGGAACUGCGUCUGAUACUGGAUGGCUUGGAUUUGGGAGAGGGAUGCGGAAUUCCGCGUGUAGCAGUGAAAUGCGUAGAUAUGCGGAGGAACACCGAUGGCGAAGGCAAUCCCCUGGGCCUGCACUGACGCUCAUGCACGAAAGCGUGGGGAGCAAACAGG